UUUCUUUUUCUGCAUCCACUGCACUGUUAAGUGCUUCACCACAUUGUUCUCAUUUCUAUUAUUUCUGAAAAAAAUCUUCAGGAUUCUGCUUGUGGGAGUGGAUGACAUUCUUGCAGUGUUUACAGUCACAAAAUGAACAAGAUGUCUGUGGCAACACUCAGACCAUUGAUGCCUUCCCUCCUAUGUAUCAAAUCACACAUUUGGACUUUGAACUCUCACAUUUCAGAUGCUCAAUCUUGAGGUAUAGUAAAAGGGAGCAUGAACUUGAGAAAAUGCACUUUCAACACAAAGCAGUAAUAAUAUAAGGUCAAAUCAGAUUCUGCCUUGGAGAUAGAAAACUCUGAAGCAAGUUUUGUUUAUUCCAGAAUGUCAUAUAGUUGGUAUAAG